ensembl:lncRNA
CUGAGGAAAAUGACUGGUUCUCAAAACCAUCCUUAAAUUAGAAUAUAGAGAGUAAGCAAUUCCUGAAAAAUCAGACCAUGACACCUCUGGGCAUGGUGUGUUUUUAUUAUUUUCAUAAGCAAAGCAACCAGACGCCUUUCUCAAAAUGGAUUAUGGAGCAUGCUUGUGACAAGGAGCUCUCCUCUUCCCAAACAUCUUAAGGCAACUCCUUAGUUCCAUGGAAUUUCAGGCAGAACAUUGCCUUGCUGCACCCUGAUUUCUGCACAAGGCUUCAAUUGCUAGAGAAGCUGCAAUUUUGUUAUGAAACUUCACUACAGUUUUUUUCCCAGGAAACAGACUUUUCUCUGUUCCAUUUGCACAUUAUGGAGACAAUGUGACCACUCAAAUAAGAAAGAAAUUAUUUUAGGGAUUUGGUUCCAUCAUGGACUAACAGAUUGCAUAUCGGAUGCUUGGUUCCAUUCAUCUUAUCUACAAAGAAUUGGGAAGGGCUUGCAUAAGACUGUCAGGCACUAUUGAACAGAGACAUUUGUGUUUAUCUGCCUACCUGGUAAGGGAAAGGGUGCCCCAGGUCCCGUGUGCAGGUGACAGUCACUGCUGUGCUGCAGCCAAAACGUGGAGUCUGUGGACAGCUGAAGUUCCAGUGGUGGAGCAGGGAAUGGGGAGAGGCAUGGAAGGUCCAGGUGGAGAGCCCACAGCCAAGAGAGACUGCUGUGCAGAAAAUGUGAUAGCAGCUGUGGUUAAUCCUUGUCCCUGGAGAAUGAGAAAUUCUGUGGAAGAGAUGACUUUAUAAACCCAAAGAGCUGCUGAUGGACAGAACAGCACACAGGACUGAUGGGUAAGGGGCUAGUGUUCUCCCAGCUUACUUGCAACGUACUACAUGCUUUGGGGAAAUCCCUUUGUUUCAAGCUUUAUCCUUCUAUUAUUCUAUUCUAUGUAAUUGUUCUAAACAGUUCACCCAAAGCAAGGAGAAACAAUUAAUAGAUAUAGGGACAGUGAUGUGGGGGAGACCUGGCUUGAUACCACUCUCAGCAAGGGCAUGGGUUUGUUUAGCACCAAGUCAAAGCAGAAACCGUGGAAGGACUCCACAAAUGAGAAAGGCUGCAACCCCUCGGAGGCUAAGAAAUCACUCAGCAUGGAGCACUGGGCUGUAAUUAGGAAAGGGAAAUCACCAGCUGAGCAUUAAGAAGUUCUUGCUGCCCGUGAGAUGUGUUGAGCCAUUCAGGAUUUGCCCAGGGGAGAGUAAUGGCAAAGUCAUACAAGCCAGGAGAAUGAAGUUUUAAAAACUGCCCUUUAGGGAGGAAUGCAGCAUGAACCUGUCUCCCUUUUCAAUGCCAUCUUCUGAGAUGGAUGAGAAUUAGCUGCUUGGGUUUUUGGUUUUUUUUCCCUUUCUUUUGUAAAUUGCUGGUUAAUGCUGACCCAAGAAGUUAGCAAAGAAGUCAGUGAAUUUGGGGAGUUGUUCUUUAUUUUUAAUAACACAACAUCUAUGUUGUCCGGUAACUAUGUUGUCCUCUUGCUGUGUUUACAGGAAAAGGCAUCAGCCACUUUCAGCCCUGGGUGCAGAAUUUGAACUCUUGUAGUUUACAGGAGAGGAUGGUUGUUUAAUUCAUCCCUCGCAUUCACGGCAAAUUUGAAACUGACCUUUAAACUGAGUAAUUUGGUUCAAGGUUUUUCUUUUCUCCAUUUCCUCCAGCUGGUUGCGUCUACAUUUUCCAGUUAAAAACACAUUGCCUUCUUAGGGCAUUUGUGUUCCCAUGAGUCUCAAGAUUUUUACCAUUUAUGAUUUUCACAAA